UAUUCUGACUGCCAUAGAACUGGCUAGUUAGAAGUGAGCAUUCUACGUAGAUGAAAACCUGAAGAACAGAAUAUUUGAGCCUUAAAAUUUACAUAUAGACUCUAAUAGAUAAAUCGGAUCAAUUAAAUUCACUACCACAUAAUAUAUUACUGGUAAUGUUAUAAAGCAAUAGAGUACGGAACAAAAAAAAAAAAAAAAAAAGAGAGAAAAAGAAAAAAAACAUAUGAAUAG